UUGUUUAAUCCAAUUUAUUUCAUUAUUCAUUGUUUCAUUAAAUAUUUACUAAGAGCCUAUUCUAUACCCUACGUGAGAGACACAGAUAAACAGAUAGAUAGAUACAAAUAACUUAUUAUCUGAUAGUUCUGGAGGUCAAAGUCCCAGAUGGGUAUCACUGGACUAGAAGCGAGGUGUCAGGACAGCUGAGUUCUUUUAUGUGGGUUUGAGAGAAUUCAUUUCCACUUCUUUUGAGCCCCUAGAAACUGCCCACAUUCCUUGGCUCUUUUGCCAUCUUUAAAGCCAGCAACAGCCAGUUGAGUGCUUCUCAUUACAUCUCUCUGACCUUUCUUUUCAUCACUCAUCUCUAGCACAGCAGCGAAAGUUUCCCUACUUCAAGUUCUCAGACUUAGAUUGGCCCCACCCAGGGAAUCAAGGAUAGCAGUCCCAUCUCAAGGUUUAUAACUUUAAUCACAUCUACAAAGUCUCUUAUGCCAUGUAAGUACCAUAUUCAUAGGUUUCCAGGACUGGGGCAUAGAUAUCUUUGGGGGCCUUAAAUUUGCAAGCCCCAAAGCCACUGCCCACAGCAAGAUUUCUUAAAAAUCUCUUUUCAGGGACUUUCCUGGCAGUUCAGUGGUUAGGAUUCCAUGCUUCUACUGCAGAGAACAUGGGUUCAAUCCCUGGUAGGGGAAGAUACCGCAAGUCAUACAGCACGACCAAAAAGAAAAAAAAAAAAAAAUCUAAAAAAAAAUCCCUUUUCCUCCCCAACCACUUCUUCCCAAAGCUCCAACUGCUUUGCACCUCUGUUCUCCAUUUUCCCCAGAAAAACUCCCAGGCCCAGCCCCUGAACGGCCUCCUUUAUCCUGGCGCCCCCUUUCUCUUGGGAGUGGGGAGACAAAACGUCGCAAAAGGAAACCUCGCUAGAGCGCAGGUGAGUCCUCUCACCUUGGUUUCUGCUUAUUGCUGUGGGCUGUAACCACCAUUUAUAACCUCGGUUUCUUUGAAAAACCGAGUUAGGGGCUCCGGUGCGGUCCACAGCUGACGUCGCGUGGGCGGGAAAUAGGCCGAGGCAUAUACUCUUUGGAGACCUCUGCUCCUCGCUCCCAAUGACCCAUUGAUAACCAGGGACACGGGUCCCUAGCUCUGUCCCCUCCUAGACCUCGUCCCUUGCAGCCCCAUCAGCUGCCAGGACCCAGAUCCGCAGCAAGGGCACCUGGAGUUCUCCCGGUCCCAGGCAGAGCCCCCGCGAACCCUGGAACGCUAUUUCCUGCUGCUCCUCUUUCCCUCCUCCUGCUGUUCCUCCUCUCCUCCUGGCGCUCUGCCCACCGCGGGUCACCGACUUCCUCCGGCCUCCGCCCCUAGCCGCUACCGCCCCCUGGCAGCCGUCUCCAAGGUGCACACCGGACGCGGGAAGCCACCCGGCGGCGGUGGAGGAGGCAAGGACCCGGCUCAUGAGGCAAGUUACAGUUUUCAGAAUCCAAGUGGAAUCUAACGCUAUGAAACAAUGCCAAGAGAAAAGCAAGGAAAACGAAAAACUAAAGGAGCACCCCAGUCCAUUGUUUCCACUCUUCAAAAGUUCCUGAAAACAUACGAGAAGCGUUGUGUACAGACUCAGACGUCUGUGUGUCCAGCCAUCAAAAGGGACUUGAAAGCCAGCAUCAACCAUGAACGGAUUCUCAGGAAGUUUGUACUGGUAAGACCUGAUGACUCCCCGCCAGGCAUCCUACCAAUUUCCUUGGAACCUUUGCUCAUGACUGUUCAGGAUGAGUGUUACAUGCUGGGGAGAGAGAUCUGUAUCUGGGGCUUUCAACUGAGCAACCCAGAGAUCGCCAGACUUGCUUUGCUUCUAGAAUCGAAGGGGCACACCCGCUGCCCGUUUACCACCCUGGAACUCAUUGACUGCAAGAUGGAUCUGUGGUCUCUGGGGAGGCUUGGGCAGGCUUUGCAUCUCAGCAGUCUGCAUGUUCUUGUCCUCGACUACUGCAGAUUUACACAUGAAGAAAUUGAGAGUAUUUUCUCAGGCCUGGAGAACAACCAAAGGCUUCAGAGCCUCAGUCUGCGCUACUGUGGUCUGGGGCCACAGAAUGGACCGAGGCUGGGCUCCAUCGUAUGCCACAGUGCCAUUCGUGAGCUGCACCUCGGUGGCAAUUACUUGCAAUGUUCUGGAGCUCUGGGUCUCCUCAGACCCCUGGCAGAGUAUGCAGAGAUGCAGGGGAAAGACCAACUGGCCAUUUCCUCACCAGACACCAGGAGCCCCCCUCCGCUGCUCCAAGCCAGACAGAGAGGAAGUUCACCUCUGAACCAGAUUGCAGAGUCAUCCAGGGCUGUAACAGUGAAACCUACCUCAGGGAAGAGGAGAAAAAAAGGAAUCAAGAAAAAAAUUAAAGAUUUGAUUGAAACUGGUCCUUGGUUAGUGAAGUUGUAUUUAGCAGAUAAUGGCAUAGAUGGAAAGGGAAAAGAAGGAGAAAAUGACUUGUUGGAAUUCACUCAAAUAUUAACAUGUUCUGACAGGCUGACGCCCUGGAAGUAGAAGCACCAUCUUCACAACCCUCCACCCGCUGGCAAGUCCCGUUCUGGGCCAGCUGUAGACCAAGUUGGAGGAUGAGCAAACAGGCUCCAGGAGCACUUUGGAGAACAGAUCCUGAUCAAAUACUCUGUCCACUUAAAGGAGAUUGACCUUGGAAACAAUGUCCUGGGAGAAAAGGCUGCUGUUGACCUACUUGAAGCACUGAGAGCCAGAAAGACAGAAGGCUGAUAGUCAUGUAGAAGACUGGGGUAUUCUUUGAAAAACUGAACAGCCCCAGAGAAAGGAACUCCAGAUGCUGAGAGCUGGCCACUCCCUCACCAUUCAAAGAAGCCCUGCACAUACACAGGAGCUUCCCAUCAGCCUUUGGAUGCCUCUUGCUUCACUGUGAACAGAAAUCUCAGAAUCUCCAGAGACAUGAAGCAAUUUUCCAACACAGGAAACCAUGCCUGAAACAAAGAGAAUAAAAGAGCCCUGAAGAUAUAGAAACUAUGUGAAAAAACUUUAAAAAGAAAUAAGUUAUAACACUCUCAGUUAAACAGAAGAUCAUGCAUCUAUAAAACAAGAACAGGAUGCUAUGAAAAAAGAUUAGGAAAAAAAUUAGGUUAUUAGAAGUGAAAAUAAAAACUUCAAACAAAUGUUGAAAAACGAAGUCAAGAAAGUCUUCAAAAGUAGAGCAAAAGAUAGGGAGAUGAAAAAUUGGUGAGAAAAUAUGAGCAAGAGGAUCAGUCUAAGAGCACCAGUAGCUAACUCAUAAUUUCAGAAAGAAAAGAAAGAAGUGAGGGAAGGGAAUUAUCAAAGGAAUAAACCAAGAACUUUCCCAGAACCAAGGGACAUAAAUCUGCAUAUUGAAAAAGCCCACUGAGUGCUCAGCACAGUGCAUGACAAUCAUGGCUUUCAGAAUGGUAGGAAUAAAAGGUAGAUCCAAACAACAUACGGGGCUUCCCUGCUAGCUCAGCUGGUAAAGAAUCUGCCUGUAGUGCAGGAGACCCAGGUUCGAUCCCUGGAUCGGGAAGAUCCCCUGGAGAAGGGAAUGGCAACCCACUUCAGUAUCCUUGCCUAGAGAACUCCAUGGACAGACCAUGGGGUCGCAAAGAGUUGGACACGACUGAGUGACUAGCACACACAACAGUAUAUAAAAAGAGAAAGAAAGAUUGCAUACAAAGGACUGGAAGUCAGGAAAAUCAUAGACUUCGUAACUGAAAACUAGAGGUAAAGGAGCUCUGCCAUGACGACUCUGUGAGAACUCUACACAUUCCUAACUCCUUACCAAGUGUGAGUGGAAACUAGAGAUGUCUGUAGCUUGAAAGGACUCAAACUCUGUACCUCCUCUGUAUCCAUUCUCAAAAAGCUUCCAGAGAAUAUACUUGAGCAAAGUGAGGGAAUUCACAUAGACAAAGAAUACAGAAUCCAGAAAUCA